UACGUAGGGUGCAAGCGUUGUCCGGAAUUAUUGGGCGUAAAGAGCUCGUAGGCGGUUUGUCGCGUCGGAUGUGAAAACCCGGGGCUUAACCCCGGGCCUGCAUUCGAUACGGGCUGACUAGAGUACGGCAGGGGAGACUGGAAUUCCCGGUGUAGCGGUGAAAUGCGCAGAUAUCGGGAGGAACACCGGUGGCGAAGGCGGUUCUCUGGGCCUUACCUGACGCUGAGGAGCGAAAGCCAGGGGAGCAAACGGG
rnacentral:rRNA from 1 species